rnacentral:rRNA from 1 species
CCUACGGGGUGCAGCAGUGAGGAAUAUUGGUCAAUGGCCGGAAGGCUGAACCAGCCAUGCCGCGUGAAGGUCAGUGCCCUAUGGGCGUUAAACUUCUUUUGUGCGGGAGCAAUAAUGGUCACGUGUGGCCAGACGAGAGUACCGUACGAAUAAGCAUCGGCUAACCCCGUGCCAGCAGCCGCGGUAAUACGGGGGAUGCAAGCGUUAUCCGGAUUUAUUGGGUUUAAAGGGUGCGUAGGCUGUGAGGUAAGUCAGCGGGGAAAUGCCCCCGCUCAACGGGGUGAAGUGCCAUUGAUACUGACUUGCUGGAAUGCGGAUGCCGUGGGAGGAAUGUGUGGUGUAGCGGUGAAAUGCAUAGAUAUCACACAGAACACCGAUUGCGAAGGCAUCUCACGAAUCCGCGAUUGACGCUGAUGCACGAAAGCGUGGGUAUCAAACAGGAUUAGAUACCCUGGUAGUC